rnacentral:rRNA from 1 species
GGGUGAGUAACACGUGGGUAAUCUGCCCUGCACUCUGGGAUAAGCCUGGGAAACUGGGUCUAAUACUGGAUAUGACCUUUCUCCUUAUGGGGUUUGGUGGAAAGUUUUCGGUGUAGGAUGAGCCCGCGGCCUAUCAGCUUGUUGGUGGGGUGAUGGCCUACCAAGGCGACGACGGGUAGCCGGCCUGAGAGGGUGAUCGGCCACAUUGGGACUGAGAUACGGCCCAG